rnacentral:misc_RNA from 1 species
GAUGAAGAACGCAGCGAAAUGCGAUAAGUAAUGUGAAUUGCAGAAUUCAGUGAAUCAUCGAAUCUUUGAACGCACAUUGCGCCCGCCAGUAUUCUGGCGGGCAUGCCUGUCCGAGCGUCAUUUCAACCAUCAAGCCCCGGGCUUGUGUUGGGGACCUGCGUCCGACGCAGGCCCUGAAAACCAGUGGCGGGCUCGCUGUCCACACCGAGCGUAGUAACUAACCUCGCUAUGGAGUGGCGCGGGCGCCUGCCGUAAAACCCCCAAUUUCACAAGGUUGAUCUCGGAUCAGGUAGGAAUACCCGCUGAACUUAAGCAUAUCAAUAAGCGGAGGA